UUAGGUAUGAGUAACGAUAAAAGUAGUGAAAAACUACUUCGCCGAAAGACUAAGGGUUCCUGAUCAACGUUAAUCGGAUCAGGGUUAGUCGGGACCUAAGGCAAACCCGAAAGGGGUAGUCGAUGGAAAGUUGGUUAAUAUUCCAACACUUGUUUUAGUUUCGAUGGGGUGACGGAGAAGUGAAAGGCCCGCGGGAUUACGGAAUAUCCCGUUAAAGCGUGUAGGUAUAUUUUGGGUAGGCAAAUCCGCCCGGAAUGCUGAACGUGAUAGUACUCAAAGGCUUCGGCCGGCGAGAUAGUGGCCCUAAACCUGCUCACGAGAAAAACCUCUAAGGCUAGGCUAAGACAACCCGUACCGUAAACCGACACAGGUAGUCGAGAUGAGUAUUCUAAGGCGCUCGGGUGAGCCGUGGAGAAGGAACUAGGCAAAUUGUGGCUGUAACUUCGGGAUAAAGCCAUCCGCAGCGAUGCGGAUUCAAUAAAAUGGUUCAACCAACUGUUUAGCAAAAACACAGGGCCCUGCAAAAUCGAAAGAUGACGUAUAGAGCCUGAUACCUGCCCGGUGCUGGAAGGUUAAGGAAGCUUGUCAGGAGCAAUCCGAAGCUUGCGACCGAAGCCCCAGUAAACGGCGGCCGUAACAAUAACGGUCCUAAGGUAGCGAAAUUCCUUGUCGGGUAAGUUCCGACCUGCACGAAUGGUCUAAUGAGUUGAACACUGUCUCCUCCACGAGCCCGGUGAAAUUGUAGUAUCGGUGAAGAUGCCGGUUACCCGCCACGGGACGGAAAGACCCCGUGAACCUUCACUACAACUUUACAUUGAUUUUGAGUAACAGAUGUGUAGCAUAGUUGGGAGACUUUGAAGCAGGUGCGCCAGCACUUGUGGAGUCAACGUUGAAAUACCAACCUUCUGUUGCUUAGAGUCUAACCCGCGAGGGGACAUUGUAUGGUGGGUAGUUUGACUGGGGUGGUCGCCUCCUAAAAAGUAACGGAGGCUCGCAAAGGUACCCUCAGUACGGUUGGUAAUCGUACGAAGAGCGCAUUAGUAAAAGGGUGCUUGACUGUGAGGCUGACCAGCCGAGCAGGUGCGAAAGCAGGCUAAAGUGAUCCGGUGGUUCUGUAUGGAAGGGCCAUCGCUCAAAGGAUAAAAGGUACUCCGGAUAACAGGCUGAUCUCCCCCAAGAGCUCAUAUCGACGGGGAGGUUUGGCACCUCGAUGUCGGUUCGUCACAUCCUGGGGCUGGAGAAGGUCCCAAGGGUUCGGCUGUUCGCCGAUUAAAGUGGCACGUGAACUGGGUUCAGAACGUCGCAAGACAGUUCGGUCCCUAUCUGUGGUGGGCGUUAGUAAAUUGCGAGGACAUGCUCUUAGUACGAGAGGACCGGAGCGUAUGUGCCGCUGGUGUAUCGGUUGUGCCGCCAGGUGCAGUGCCGAGUAGUUAUGCACAGCCAGGAUAAGCGCUGAAAGCAUCUAAGCGCGAAACCUUCCUCAAGAUGAGUUUACUUUUAAGGGUCGUCAGAGACUAUGACGUUGAUAGGCUACAGGUGUAAAGGUGGUAACAUCAAAGCCGAGUAGUACUAAUUACCCGUAAGCUUUAAUG
rnacentral:rRNA from 1 species